rnacentral:SRP_RNA from 1 species
GCACCGCGGGUGCUGAUCCACCAGCUCAACGAUGCGCAUUACAACCGGGCGCGCAACUGGCAUCAGGACG